AUUUUUAAAUAGCUGCAGAGAUUCUGUGCUAAGGUAGCAUAAUCAUUUGCUUUCUAAUUAAAAGCUAGAAUGAAAGGUUCAACGUUUUAAUAUUUUUAUUAAAUAUAAAAAUUUAAAUUAUAUUAAAUAUAAAAAUAUAUUUAUCUAUUAAAAAGACGACAAGACCCUAUUGAACUUAACUUAAGUUAAGCUGGGGCAGCUUAUUAAUAAUAAUUUUAAUAAAAUUUAUUAAUUAAAUAAUUCAAUACAUUUGAUUAAUUUAUCAAGUUACCAUAGGGAUAACAGCGUAAUAUUAAUUUAAAGUUCUUAUUAAAAUUAAUGUUUGCGACCUCGAUGUUGAAUUAUAAUUCUAUAUUUUAACGCAAUAGUCAUAUAAGUAGGUCUGUUCGACCUUUAAUAUUUUACAUGA
rnacentral:rRNA from 1 species